GACGAACCGUCCAAACGUUAUUCGGAAUUACUGGGCUUAAAGGGUGCGUAGGCGGCCAUUUAAGUCAGCGGUGAAAUUUUGCAGCUUAACUGUAACAGUGCCGUUGAUACUGUUUGGCUAGGAUUUGGUUGUAGUGUGCGGAAUGUGUGGUGUAGCGGUGAAAUGCUUAGAUAUCACACAGAACACCGAUUGCGAAGGCAGCACACUAAGUCAUUAUUGACGCUGAGGCACGAAAGUGUGGGGAUCAAACAGGAUUAGAUA
rnacentral:rRNA from 1 species